GCUCGGCAGCAGCGGGGUGCUGAACCCGAGCAGCAGGCUACCUCAUCUCUUCCCAGUCAGAGUGCCCGUACAAGUAACUGUACAGCACUCAGCCUACUCUGCGUUAUGAUGCAGUUUAUGUUGCUUUUUAGUCGUCAGGGAAAGCUCCGACUCCAGAAAUGGUAUGUCCCGCUAUCCGACAAAGAAAAGAAAAAAAUCACAAGAGAACUAGUUCAAACAGUUUUAGCCCGUAAACCCAAAAUGUGCAGCUUUUUGGAGUGGCGAGAUCUGAAGAUUGUCUACAAAAGAUAUGCUAGCCUGUAUUUCUGCUGUGCUAUUGAAGAUCAGGACAAUGAACUAAUUACCCUGGAAAUAAUUCAUCGUUAUGUUGAACUACUUGACAAAUAUUUUGGCAGUGUGUGUGAACUUGAUAUCAUCUUUAAUUUUGAGAAAGCUUAUUUUAUUCUGGAUGAAUUUCUUUUGGGAGGAGAAGUUCAGGAAACAUCCAAGAAAAAUGUUCUUAAAGCCAUUGAACAGGCAGAUCUGCUCCAAGAGAACCAGAAUGAAGACUGGGGAGGUUUGUGUGACGAUACCUUAUGAUUAAGAACAAUAUAAGGCUUUAGUUUCCCUUCACCCCCACCCUAAUUAUUGGAAGCUGAAACCCCACGUAGUGUUCUUGAAGAAAUUGGACUGACAUAAGCCAUCUCCCAUGUUGAUGACAUCAUGUGGUCUCACAUACUGUAGAUGUUCACUGCCUUCAUGUCAAUGUUUAGCUAAUGGUGUAAGAUGCUGUUUGUCAGUAUUACUGUUUUGCUAAGCCGCUUCAUUCAGGCCUACAUAAAAACACUCCACUUUUUCAAAAGGGAAUAAAAAGUAUUAGCUUUUUUUUUAAAGGGACUUAAAUGUUAACUAAAACUUGAUGCAGAAGAAAUAUCUUUUCCGUAUCCUCAAAGGUUGAAUUCAGUUUCCCAUUAAUUUUAUUUGUAUGUGAUAAUUAUGAUAUACACAUAAAAUCACAAUCAGGAAGCACAUUUGUUGCUAUUACUGCAUUCAACUGAAAGGAAGCUACACUUGUAUCGACGUAAAAGUAAAUGUAAUAAUGUUUCAAUAUGGUUUUAUGCAACCAAAGACUAGUGUUACAUUUCAGUAUUUAUGGGAAUGUGAAAAAUUGACUGAUUUUACAUAUCAAAAUGAUUUAAAUUUUAACAUUACCGCUGAAACUUAAACAUAUACAUGUAUACCAAAGAUACUUAUUGGGAAUUACAUAUCUGGUAGCUUAUUGAAAAAACAUACAUUUCUGAGACUAAAGGGAUAUUACUGUUAAAGGGAAUAUAGGUUACUUUAAUCAGAACAAUCCUGUUUUACAUUGACUAUUAGUUGAAGGCAGGAAUUUGGACUGAAGAUACUACAAUAUGAGCACAUAAUGUACACUAUGAAAAUGGUUAGACGUUAUAUUCUAUGUGAGAUUUCUUUAAGCAUAAUUUUACAACUUAAAUGGAUUAUCUUUAUCCCCCCAGAUACAUUAUACUGCCACUGUUUACCUCAUUUUUCCAUGAGCUAAGGAAAACAUCUACUUACAUAGGAUGUUAUCAAUCAAAAUGCUGAGUUGCCUAGUAUUAUUGCUAUCUCAAAUAAACCUUGGCUGUGUUCACAAAGUAUCACAUUGGCUAAGUUUGCUCCACUGUUAGUAUUAUUCUGGUUAACUAAAUUUUCCCUGUACUUUUUUUUCCAUAAAGUACCACUAAUUUGACAUUUUUCUCCUUUCAUGCCACCUCCUAGUCAGAAAAUAUUCAUCAUAUAUAUACAUAUCUACAUAUAUCUAUCUCUCAUGUAAAAAUGUUAGCUGGAUGAGGUAAAAUGACAAUAGGGGGAUUUUUUAAAAAGCUGUUACAAUUCAGUUUCAAUACCAUUUUCGUAUGUAUUUAAACAUGUCUUCAAGGUUUACACUUUCACUUACUUGUAUGUGCUUGGCUGGAUUAAGCUUUGUGAUUGUGACCAAUAUUUAGGCUGUGAUCAUUGUCUUAUCACAUACGUUAGUUAUAAUAAAUGUCCACUCUUACACCA